GCAUAUCAUAAGCGGAGGAAAAGAAACCAACAGGGAUUGCCUCAGUAACGGCGAAGUGAAGCGGCAAGAGCUCAAAUUUGAAAGCUGGCCCCUUCGGGGUCCGCGUUGUAAUUUGCAGAGGAUGCUUCGGGUGCAGCCCCCGUCUAAGUGCCCUGGAACGGGCCGUCAUAGAGGGUGAGAAUCCCGUCUGGGACGGGGUGUCUGCGUCCGUGUGAAGCUCCUUCGACGAGUCGAGUUGUUUGGGAAUGCAGCUCUAAAUGGGUGGUAAAUUUCAUCUAAAGCUAAAUACUGGCCGGAGACCGAUAGCGCACAAGUAGAGUGAUCGAAAGAUGAAAAGCACUUUGAAAAGAGAGUUAAACAGCACGUGAAAUUGUUGAAAGGGAAGCGUUUGCGACCAGACUCGCCCGCGGGGUUCAGCCGGCAUUCGUGCCGGUGUACUUCCCCGUGGGCGGGCCAGCGUCGGUUUGGGCGGCCGGUCAAAGGCCCUCGGAAUGUAUCACCUCUCGGGGUGUCUUAUAGCCGAGGGUGCAAUGCGGCCUGCCUGGACCGAGGAACGCGCUUCGGCUCGGACGCUGGCGUAAUGGUCGUAAAUGACCCGUCUUGAAACACGGACCAAGGAGUCUAACAUCUACGCGAGUGUUCGGGUGUCAAACCCGUACGCGCAGUGAAAGCGAACGGAGGUGGGAGCCCCCUCGCGGGGCGCACCAUCGACCGAUCCUGAUGUCUUCGGAUGGAUUUGAGUACGAGCGUAGCUGUGGGGACCCGAAAGAUGGUGAACUAUGCCUGAAUAGGGCGAAGCCAGAGGAAACUCUGGUGGAGGCUCGCAGCGGUUUCUGACGUGCAAAUCGAUUCGUCAAAUUUGGGUAUAGGGGCGAAAGACUAAUCGA
rnacentral:rRNA from 1 species